rnacentral:rRNA from 1 species
UACAGAGGGUGCAAGCGUUAAUCGGAAUUACUGGGCGUAAAGCGAGCGUAGUCGGUUGUCUAAGUCGGAUGUGAAAGCCCCGGGCUCAACCUGGGAAUUGCAUUCGAUACUGGGCAGCUAGAGUUCGGCAGAGGGAAGCGGAAUUUCCGGUGUAGCGGUGAAAUGCGUAGAUAUCGGAAGGAACAUCAGUGGCGAAAGCGGGUCUCUGGGCAUCUCCUGACGCUGAGACGCGAAAGCGUGGGGAGCGAACAGG